rnacentral:lncRNA from 1 species
CACAUUUUCAAUCUGAAAACUUACUCAAGCUCCUGAAUCUUGAGUGCCCUUAAGAAGAUACCUCUUGGGGCGCCUGGGUGGCGCAGUCGGUUAAGCGUCUGACUUCAGCCAGGUCACGAUCUCGCGGUCCGUGAGUUCGAGCCCCGCGUCAGGCUCUGGGCUGAUGGCUCAGAGCCUGGAGCCUGUUUCCGAUUCUGUGUCUCCCUCUCUCUCUGCCCCUCCCCCGUUCAUGCUCUGUCUCUCUCCGUCCCAAAAAUAAAUAAACGUUUGAAAAAAAAAAUUAAAAAAAAAAAAGAAGAUACCUCUUUAUAACUGUUAGCAACAAUGCUAACAUUGCUAACAUUAAUGUCUUAUAUACACAGAAGUAAGUAAUACUUUUUAAAAUAAAUAAAUUACUGUAUAAAAUAUUUAAUGUUAUAGAACUAUCCUCAAUUGCCUCCCAGAGACCUAGACCCAGUCAAUGUUUUCCCAAAUUAGAAAUGGUUGGGACCUGAGAGGUAAACCCUCUAACUCUCUUAUUUUACAGUUGAGAAAAUGGAGAUGAGAGAAAAUAGGCUUUCUUCUCUUUUCUGGCUCAUGUCAAAUGUUUAUUGCCCAGUGCCCUCCAAGUUCACAAAUCAUUGACAACACAGCAGAACUGUGAAGAAAACUGCUGAGCCAUGGACAUGAAUUCAGAACACUCAAGCUUGAACCCACUUCUAUACCUCUCCACCUGCAGGCGUACUGAAGCUGCAAUACUACAGGAAUGGCCCAGAAGGAAGGAGCCCAGAGCAACAGAACCCUGUAUGGAGGAGAGGCUUCAGCAGUGCUGGUGGUGAAUGGUUGUGACCUGGAGUGAGAAGAUCCAUAGAGUCUACAAGGCACUCAAGAUCAUGGACAGAGGGACCUCAGCAUUCAGUAAAAGAGUGGGGAAUCCAACAGCUGGCUGAAAUCCAUCCUAUAAAUGAAAGAAUGACAGAAAGAAAGCACAAGUUUCCUCAAGACCAUCCAGAAAAGAGUCAGAGAAACCAACUAAUCCAACAGCUUCACUACUAGUGGAACAGCUGGCAUGAUGAGACUUCCAACUUGCUGCAACAGAGAGCCACACAGGAAACACAG